AUUUGAUGAGAUUGAGGCUAGUCCUUACUCCACUGUUGUACAUAUCAAGAAUUAUGUCAAAGGAGAGUUUGGGUCUUGGCUUUCAGCCAGAACAUUGAUGAAGACAAAGUGCAGAAUAAGAAGGCCAAGAGUGACAGCAGCUUCCUUGCAUUCCAAAUGAGCAGCCCUUGAGAGAAUGAGAAGGAUUCAAGUCAUUGCAAUGGGUACAAUCCAUGACAGGAGUGUAAUUUCUUCUGAGCUAAGUUCCUGAAUAGAAACCUAAAGGCUUGGCCCUAACAGCCCUCUUCAAGUCAGUCAAUUUGUGCUGAUGUAACUAAUGAGAUGUCUGGACCCAUCGUCAUGAAAAG